rnacentral:rRNA from 1 species
GGAUGCGAUCAUACCAGCACUAAAUCACUGGAUCCCAUCAGAACUCCGAAGUUGAUCGUGCUUGGGCGAGAGUAGUACUAGGUUGGGUGACCUCCUGGGAAGUCCUCGUGUUGCAUUCC